rnacentral:rRNA from 1 species
UACGUAGGGUGCAAGCGUUAAUCGGAAUUACUGGGCGUAAAGCGUGCGCGGGCGGUUCGCUAAGACAGAUGUGAAAUCCCCGGGCUUAACCUGGGAACUGCAUUUGUGACUGGCGGGCUAGAGUAUGGCAGAGGGGGGUAGAAUUCCACGUGUAGCAGUGAAAUGCGUAGAGAUGUGGAGGAAUACCGAUGGCGAAGGCAGCCCCCUGGGCCAAUACUGACGCUCAUGCACGAAAGCGUGGGGAGCAAGCAGG